AGCAGUUCGGGGUAAUAACUACCUCCAUAUGUGGCCCGUGGUGGCAGCGCUUCUUUUGGGUUCUUUUCACUGUGGUUUGGCACAGCUAACCUUUAAAAAUAUUAACUCUGUAAAGGCUAGCAACUGCAGCAGAAUUGUUCUUAUUCCAUGCUAUGUCUCCAACAUAGAGGCACAAGACAUCAAUGAAUUAUUUUUGAAGUGGAAAUUUGGACAAGAUAUAAUUUUUGUCUUUGAUGGGCAUGCAAACAAAUCUACAACUUAUACGUUUCCAAGUGCACAAAUUUUCCCCUCCGAAUUUCUAAAAGGAAAUGCAUCUUUGACGUUGGCUAAGAAUGAAGCUAAAGCAGGAAACUACACAUGUGAAGUGACAGAAUUGAGCAGGGAGGGGAAACACACUGUGGAGCUAAAAUAUAGUGAUGUCUGCACUCCACCAAUUAGCGGUUUCAAAGGAGGAAGUGUGCUACUCAGUCUCAUCUGGGUUCUCCUGUCUUUGACCAAGGUUCAUGGUUUACUUUAAGUGAAAAUAUUCCCAUUAUUAUUUUCCCAUUUUUGACUGUACUUCUGUUCUGGGCACAGUUUGGUAUUUUAAUGCAAAAAUAUAAAUCCAACCCUGUGAAUAGGAAAAUUCUUAUUUUAUCUACUUCUGGACUAUUGUUCACCAUAAUUGUCACUGUUGGAGCCGCCCUUUAUAUCCCAGGUAAUUAUUCAAAAAGGAAAGGCUAUGGGCUUAUUUUCUUCAUUAGUCCUUCAGUGAUCCCUGUGUUCCUUCAGUACCAUAAGUUUAAGCCAGCUAUCGGGAGGACCCUCCAGGCUGUGAUCAUGUUCACCAUUGCUCAAGGACUGGGUGCUGUACUCACUCUGGCGGGACUAUAUCUCACUGCAUCUGACUGUGUACCAAAAUACGGCCUCCUUCUAAUUUCAGGUUUGGCCAUAAUAACUCUAGUGGAAUUAUUUGGACUAAUUUAUAUGAAAUGGCUUGACCCAAUGAUAGGGUUUCCAUAAGACACAAAAGUGCAGGCAGCGCUGUCUUUGUUCCCGAGUUUCACACUUUGUCUCACUGGCUCUCAAGGAAUACUAAAUCCAACCAUCUCUAGUCCAGAGCAAGAUGCCAGACGUUCCAAGUGCCACUGGGUCACCUUGCUUUUCUCAUCGCUGAAGCCAGCUGAUUGCUCUCCAAGGAUACUGUUUUGCCCAAGGCAGUGUGGACUUUGACAUUCCUUCAAGUUUCAACUAGAAUAUUGACUAGAGGCUAGUUUGUAGACGUAUUACUUUGUAAAAAGUGUCAACUCCUUGAUUGUAACAGAAAACAAUAAAAACAUUAAAAAUCCA